AGUACAAUUGCUGGGUCAUAUGGUAACUCUAUUUUGAGGAACUCCUACAUGGUUUUACAAAAUGGCUGUACCAUUUUACAUUCCUACCAGCAAU
rnacentral:pre_miRNA from 1 species